UCUGGCCAGCCAGAUCACCUGCUCAUUUUGUUAUUGUUUGUAAAAAUUUGUAACCCAUCCCUGCGUGUUUGUUCCGAAGAUUGGGAAUCCUACAUUCAAGGCCUUUCUUUCACUUUGUUUUAUUCCGUUUUGGACGAACGAUGGGUAAACUGCCGCGCUUCGAGCCAGGCAUGUAAGAAGACAGCUAUGCCCGUUAGGCCCCCGACCCGACGCACGCAUAAAUAGCUCCGGCUUCCGUUUGCCUACCUCUUUGUGCUGUGGACCGGUUAGUAGCAGUAUGAGUCCUUUCGGUCCGCGUGGCGUCUUCCGCGGAACCUGCCGUUCAGUGUCGGGAAGGCACAGGGCACACCUUUGGUGUAGCAACCCGCCUGCAGGCUCCUGAUCCUCGCAGACGGGUCCUCAGCGCAGCGAUGGGGUUUUAAGACGUCCAUUGGUGUGUAAUCCUUAAAUAAAGCAUGAGAGUUCUGCAAGCCCAGCUAAGGGCAGUGCCCCUACCCAGAGAUUCUUUGCUAACCUGAAGACUGAAAACUUAAGGUUUUGGAAUCUACCCCAUGGGACACUGUUGGGAUGCUUAGGUUCCUGCUGUUGCAUCCUCAGGCUGUCAUGACAAGUGGAGAGCAACCCUUUCUCCCUGGUUACUAUGGAUUUUGUUGACACAAAGGAUGCUCUGAUGUUGGACGGUUUCUAUGAAUAUAACAUCUUUCCUGUAUUAAACUGAGCAGCUAUGAAGCACAAAUAACUGGCUAAAAUUUUUGGGACCCUACCAUUAAGUAGGGUAUUUGCUUAUGUUUUCUCAUUUACAAGCACAUGAUUUUAUUGGAAAAAUUUCAAUAAAAUAUUUUAAAGCAA